AAGUAUAAAGGGUGCGACUGUAUAUUACUUCUAGAGUAAAUAAUGAAAGAAAAAUAUCAGUUACUCAUAUUUACUCUGAAAUCUUUCCAAUGUAGAUAAAAACAUUUUUCCUUCUUUUACCUCUAGUUAUUGUUAAAAGAGAGUAAAACACACUAAUAAAUUUACUCCAAUUCAAACAAGAGUAACUGUAUUUACUUUAGUUUACUCUCUCUCUCACUUUUAUUUUUCCUUUCUUUUUCACAUUUUUCCCUCUUAUUUACUCUAUAUUUCCCAAUCACACACUCAAAAUAUCAAAUUAGUAUGGUUUCUUUUGGAUCAAGAGACAACUGAUUAGGUGAAAUCGUAUAUGUUAACAUCUUUUUUAAUUUUGUCAAAUUGUGAGCUGAAGUUGUUCUCCGAUUAUUUUGAAAUCUUUGAUUACUGUUUUUUGGAUCUGCUUGCCAGGGAUACCAAAGAUGAUUCAUUUUUUAUAGACGGCUUCACAUACUAUAUGGAGACAUAUCCCUAGCCAAAACCUUCAUACGCAAACAGAAUAAAGUAAUUUAAUAUCCAAAUCAGUAGCCUAAAGUAUUUUGAAUAGUAACUUUAAAGAUUUGAAUAUCGUAAAGUAGCAUAUAGAGUACUUAAUGAACAGGUAACACGAUUACAUCAUUGUUCUAAUCAAUUUUUUAUUAAUUAUUAGUAGCAUAUUUUUCUUCAACCUUUUGGCAGUAUAAACAUGUCAAAUGUUUAGUCCGGAUUUGGAUCAGUCUAGCCAUCAAAGAUGAGAAGGAAUGUAACCAGUAAAGACCGACUGUAGAACUUUGUAAACCGGAUGUACCGGCUUUUCCAACUCGGAAACCAAAGUAGAAGUAUUAGCUAAUGAGAAAACGGGUUGGAUUUCAGACUCACUAACUAAUAGACAUAUCUUCAAUCAUCUAUUAGUUAAAGUUUCAUAAUCAGUCCACCUUCAUCAAUAUCACAUAUUUCUAAUUAAUCAAAUUAUUUUGACCAACAUUAGAUAGAAUAAUAAGGGAAUUGUUUACAAUGUUAAUUAAUGACUCAACGACGUGUAUCAAUGAUGAUCACACAAGGGGAAAAAACAGAGAGAAAAAAAAUAGUAUAAAUGUUAAAUCAGAAGAAACAAGCCGACUUGAUUUUCUAUAUAAUUAACCAAAUGAAAAGAAGAUAUAUUUUAAUGCUUAAUGAUUUUAUAUAACAAUAAAAAUUUGGUCACUUUAACAUACCAAGUGAAUCCUGUCCCCUACCUUUUUACCAUUUCUAAAAACCCUAGGUUCAUUAAAAUUAUACAAACAUUUAACUUUUUACCAAUAUAAAUAAAGUUGAAAGAUGAUUAAGAAAAAUGCCACAUUUUCUACUUCCUUGACAGCACAUGCAAUGUUGCUUUGCCAAGGAUUAGAGAUGAAGAAACAAAUAAAAAUGACUGUGUACGGUGGUUCACCAUCAGAGUCAAAUGUUGAGACUUCUGACAUGUAGAGUCAAAUGUUGAAUUAAAUAAAUUUCUUACAUCACGAAACUACAUUAUGAUUCAUCUGAUGCAUACAUGUAUUGUUUGUCAUUCAAGACUUCUUCUUUUUUUAAAGACUUCUUACACAAUGUCGCAUUUUCUUAUUGUUUUUUCUUUUAUCAAGCUAUAUAUAUAUAUAUAUAUUAUGUAUGUGUGUGUGUGUGUGUGUGUGUGUGUCUGUGUGAGAGUGACUGCAUCUUGGAAAUCCCUACUCAGUAUGAUUCAACUGAUGCAUACAUAUAUUCUUUGUCUUUCAAGAAUUAAAAUAUUUUCUUUCCCAGAACAUUAUGUGUUUUGUCAGCAAUUAAUACACAGUUACAUACACUCUAGUCUAGCAUAUUUCAGUUUAGCUAAUGACACAAUGCAAACGAGUAAGAUACAAAUUAUGUCAGCAAUUAAAGUUCGAAAAAGAUACAAAUUAUGUUUUCUCAAAAAAAAAGAUACAACUUCUUAUCUUGAGAUCAUAUAUAGUGGCUAUCAGCAAAAAUGUGACAAUGCUAAUAUAACCUAUAUUUGGUUAAAAUAUUAUUUUCUAAUCGAUAUGAUAAUAAGUAAGCCGCCUUACAGACAGUAGAUAUGGAGUAUAUGACAACGUAACAAUUACGACACAAACAUAUAUACUGAAUUGAAGGAAAACCAAAUUAACCACUCCAAGCGUAACUAAAUGCUAAACAUUUCCGACAAAAAGUGUCUCUAGAUUAUUGUCAUGCUUUCCAAAAAAAAAAAAUUGCUUUUUCAUUAUAUUGAUCCAUCAAUGGAUCCCGUAGAUUUAUAAGAAAAGCAAUAUAAGGAAUUUUUUUUAACAAAAAUAAAAUUAAGAAUAUAUUCAUAUAUGAGAAUUAAUUAUCACUGGUACGAUGAAGCUUUACUUGCAUCAGAACUGUGUUCCAAACUAGAUUUCUAGCUCAAUAUCUUAACUGCGAGAUCUAACCCAAUUUUACCAGAUUGUCUUAAUUUGUCCAACUACUGUCAGGAGAUUUGUUAGAUGAAAUUCGUUUCAAUUCUUUUAAACAAAUUGAAAACUAUUCAUGAAAGUGUUCAUAACAUCAAACACAUAUAAAAAAAACAACCACAAGAGAAACUGGCUAGAUAGACUAAGUAACUAAGAUACAAAAAAAAAACUAAGAAAAACCCUAAUCCAAAAAUUCAAGAACUCCCCAGAGCCCUAAUUCAAGAACAUUCCAAACACACAAAUGUGACUAAAUAAAAUUGUUGAGAGGAAUUUGUCUUCCUGAAUCAUAAAUGUGGGAAACAUACGAUUUAUUCAACAAGACAUACAGUGAUUGGCAAAGAAGUAAACAAACAUUCAACACAAAAUAAAACAGAUUUCAACACAAAUCAAUAACUCCACAAGCUCUCUCCGUCGGAAUCCUCUGGAGAAUCAUCCGAUGGAGGACACCCCAUCCACGGCGGAGCCACCAUCAUCCCCUUGGCCAUAUCCUCUAGCAAACCAGGCAUGUUCAAUAGCUCUUCUUCAUCCACAAACUCCACAGCUGAAGAUCCCGCCCCGUCGCAAACUUUCUCUUCCUUCUUUUCACCUCCCUUCAUAGCCGCAUUGACAGCAGCCGCAGCCGCAGCACCAACCGUAGCAGCCGCCUUAGCCGCAGCGGUUCGGAUAUGAGCUGCUGAAGAGGAAACCGGAAGAGGGUAACUCCCGAUGGACUCGGGGAAGUUUAAGACCGCCUCUCCGCCUUUAAGAGCUAAAGCCGCAACGUCAUAGGCAGCGGCAGCCAUCUCAGGCGUCGAAUAAGUCCCCAGCCAGACACGUGUUGUCUUCUUAGGCUCUCGGAUCUCGGAGACCCAUUUUCCGCUCCGGCAACGGAUCCCCCGGUAAACCGGAUGAUUUUUCCGGCGAGAGAUCAAUCCGGCGUCAGUGUCCAUUAAUGUAUCAUUAUCACUACCACUUGUAGAAGUAGCAGCCGCAAAGGAAACAGUAGCAGAAGUGAUAGUAGUAAGUGGACAAGAUUUUUCACACGCGGCAGAGCUAGAGAUACUGUCACCGCACGUGCGAGCUGAGACAAUAGUAACUGACGAUGAAGAAGCUUGGCUUAUAGCUUUAGAUUCAGUGAAAGCACUAUUGGGGUUAGUCAUAUAUAAUAUGUAGAGAGAGAGAGAGAUAUGUAAGAAACAAGACCUUAGGCUUUUUACUGAAAGAAAUUAAGGAUUUUAUGUUUAAAAUAUCUCAAUGUAUAUUAUCAAGUUUGCCUUUUUAUAUUAACUAUGCAUAAAAAUAUAUUGUUUUAACUAAAUUAUUUUAUUAAUUUAACAAACUAUUUUAAUUUUAAAACAAAGAUAUUCAUAUUGAUUUUUCUAAGAUUGGAGUCUAAUAAGAUCUUAAUAUAUCUUCUUAAAAAUAUAAAUAUAAAGUUUAAAAAUAUAAAUAUACAUUAUAACUAUUUUAUUAAUUUAACAAAAUAUUUUAAUAUUUAAAAAAAAUAAAAAAUAAAAAGAUAUUCUUAUAAAUGUUUCUAAGAUUAGAAUCUACUACAAUCUUACUAUUUCUUCGAAACAAAUAUAUAUAUAUAUACAGUUUAAAACACUAUAAACAUCUAAAUAACUAAAAAUAUUCAGAAUUAUUAUUAAAUAAUUAUAUAUGAAUGUUAAUUUAAUUUUAACUAAUAUACAAAAUUAAAAAUUUAUAAUAUCAUAUAUAUACGUGUAUAUUUAUUUAAUUAUUAAAAAUUAAAUUAAAUUAUAUAUAAACAAAAAUUUCUAGAUUUUACAAUAUACUUUAAUUUAUUAAAAUAUUUUUAAAACAAAUAUUAAGUAAUUGAUAACUAAUUAUAAUUGUAAAAAUUAUUUUUAAAAAAUAUUUAGAUACUAAAUUUUUUAUUAUAUAUAGUUAGUUGAUAAACUAAAAUAUUUAAAAUUAACAAACAGUUAUAUUAUUAUUUACCGUAUCUUGGAAUGGUUUAUGAUUGAUAUAUUUGUGAUUAUAAAUUUAAUAGGUUAGAUAACAAAAAAAAUAUUAAUAGGUUAUUUCAUCAAUCAUUAAGAUACUAAUCAGAUAUGAGACAGUUAACAAAUUCAUAAACUCAUUUAUAUUUAAAAAAACAAUUGUGACCAGUGUCAUACAUAUUAAAAUAUGUAUCCCUUUGUUUUAAUUUAGUUUGUUAAAAACAAAUUAUAAUAAAUGCAAGACACGCAAAAUAAACGAAUUAUUAUAUUUUUAAUCUUUGAUUACUACAUAGUGAUAUUUAUAUAAAAUUUUAUUUUAACGAUACAAUAUUAUAACACAAAUAAAAAAAUUAUCCGAACAUAUGUUAUUCCAUGAUACAAAUAUAUUAUAAAUCAAUGCAAUAUUGUAGUAGUAUUUCUUAAAAUUAUGAUAUUACAUUAUAGUAUAUUUUAGUUAAUAGGAUAGCUAUAUUUUCAAUUAGUAUAAAAAUCUAAUCUUUACAUAUCUAAAGUAUAAAUAUAUUAAUAUCUCAAUUAACUCUUUCACUUUAUUUCACAAAUUUAUACUGAAAUCAAAAAGUAUAGACAUGUAAGAAAACCAAAAAUGAAAUUUUCAUAAAUUAUUUUCAUUUAUUUUUCAAUAUUAAAAUUAAGAAAAUCUAUAUAGAAUAGUGAUUAUAAUUUUUCUUGAAAUUUAAUACCUAACUUUAGAAAAUUAAGUUAAAAUAAUUAAUGUGCAAAUUUUUAAAUAAAAUUAUAUGAACAAAAAUAAUUUCGUAUUUUGAAAGUGAAGAUCAAAAUCUAAUAUGAAAUUAAAAUGUUUGGUUAUUACGUGGGAUUUUCUCUUAAAUGUGUUUUGUUUGCGGUUGUGUUUGGUGGAAGUAAUUUUAGCCGUUAAAUAUUCACAAACUAUUUUUUAUUUAUUGUUUUGAAAUUACCAAAAAUAACAUAUUCAUAAUAUCACUUUUUAUAUUUACACUAAUCAUUUUUAUCCUCACUUUUAAAGAGGAAAAAGAUAUUUAUAACCCUAGCAUUAAUUAAUCUAGACUUAUGGUUUAGAGUUGAGGGGUGGAUAGACUUUUUGGAAUGUGAAAUUUAGGAUUCUAAUAAAUAUAUAAAUAAAUACUUACAAAAAUAUUUUUUUAAAAAAUUUAAAUAGUUUCAAAAAUAAUUUUUGAUUUUUCAUUUUGAAAAAACAAUUCAAAAUUUUUUUUACAAAAAAUUUCAAAUUUGAAAAAGUAUAAUUCGAAAACAUAAAAAAAUUCUUUUAUUUUUUAUUUUACUUUUUUAUUAUUUUAUUAUUUAUUUAUUUAAAUAAUUAUUUAUUAUUAUAUAUAUAUAACAAUGUUAUAAGAGUCUUUGAAAAUAUAUAACAAUAUUUAUUUGACUCUUAAUGAAUAAGGUACUUUGAAAAUGCUCUUUAAUAGUGAUAAACAUAAAUAAUAGUAACAAAAAAAUGGUAAACAUGAAAAUUUUCCUUUAUUGUUUCUUUUUGAUCCAGUGUUUUUUGUAUAGUCAUGAUGUAUACAUGUAGCAGAUAUGUACGAGGUGCUAGGGGUUUUUUUAACCAAACCGGCGCACCAAAAAGUAUUUGGGAAAAGAGAAAGAGAUUUCAUUUAGAGUGACGAAAAUCUGAUUUUCGCUGAAAAAUGAGUGACAGGAGAAUGUAUAUUUUCGUGUUCAAAAUAGCUUAUGGAAAUAAGACAGUUUUAGACUUGCGGUUAACGACCAAGCUUGCAUAGGCUUGGGAAUAUUUUAUUUUGGAUCCUAGAUUGAGGCCCAGUAGCCUAUUAGAGCAGCACAUAAUUUUGUUCAAAUCAGUUAAAAUAGUGGUUGAAUGACAUUUUUUCUCAACAUCAAAUUCAUCUCAUCAAUAAAUUCGAUACAAAGACUUAACCGCAGUAAAUUAUGCCACAGAUAUAAUAGGAUGAUCUAGUAUUACCUUGGAUCACUAGAUUGGAUCCAACGCUACCUAACAUUAUAUAUUAGACCACUGUGAGACUGAAAUUACUCCAUGAUUCUAAGUAAUUUUCCUUUUAAACCACCUAAAUUAGAGCUCGUAAUGAGGUAACAUGCAUCUACUAACACAGAAAAAAAAAGCCGAACCACGAGUUACAAUCUUAAACGAGCUAAUGGUCAGAUUGAUUGACAUGAUAUUUGUGUACCAAGAGUAUAUUCACCAAAAAGCGCAUUAUCGAGGUAAACUCAAACCCCUGGUGUUCAGCUUUACCAUCCUCAUCCUCAAACCGAACACAAAGAUCCGUACUGAAAGGAAGGUCUCGGCAACAUACAUGUACUAGUUCAUCAUAUUCAAAACUUCCUAAAAUGCAGAGUUCAUACCGCCAGUUGCAAACGACAUGUCUUCUCUGAUGCUCGGAUGUAGAGUCUCCUGCCACAUAUCGCUGAUAGGUUAACUCCUCCGGUUAACCACUUCAUUGGUGAAAACCUUGUGUGUGUCAUCCCUGCGAAUUGGUAGAAAAUAUAUUUCCAUUGCCUGUCGAUUCUCUCAUUCGUAUGUCUCACCGAUGCGAAUAAACGAAGAUCCAUCUUAGGAGAGGCGCCUCGCCAACCAUGUGCCACCAUUGAGCCGAAAUCGCAUAUCUGAAGAGGGAAAACCAGAUCUGGCCCUUCGGUACACCCUAAAAGUCGACUCUCUCGCCAUCUGCCUUCCUUAGAGCCUCGCUGCUACUCCAUAACCCGUCGGAACUGGACCCCAUUAACUUGAUAUAGUCUCCGGUUAGGUCCUUCCAAACCUAAUAUAACAAGCAUAUCGAUAGUGGUCCACAUAGAUAGAAAGAAAGCAAAGGGAAACCAAGAGAAAAUGAAAAGAUAAAUUCCUCCGGCACCAGUAGCACUGGGCCGGAGUUAUGGUUUCAGAUUGAUUUUAGAGAGAGGGGAGAGCGUUUAGGAGAUAUCAUAUAUAAAAAUAUACAAACUAAACCAUAUAAUUUAAAUACAUACAUAAUUAUUCAGUAAAAUUAUUUCCAUAAAGCUUUCAUAUAUUAUCAGCUAAUGCUUAUGAAAGAUAUCCAAAAACUUAAAAAUCAUAUCAAUAUUAGUAUUUUAGAUACCCUCUAAUAGUGAAACUCAUGUGUUCAGUUCUUUAACAUUACAGUCUCCAGAAUUGUCUUUACUUGUUAUCAAUUUAAGUAGUGAUAUAUAGGUGUUUUUACUAGUUUUUCACCUAGGUUUGGAGUAUUUUGCCAAAUCAGUGUUUUAGUGUCUUUUAGUGUUAUUUUGGAGUUUUUACAUGUUUAAGUCUAUUUGGAACAAAAGAGGUUGAAUUAGAUGCAAAAAGAAAAUUAAAAAUGCAUAAUUUUGCAGAUGCGUCCGAUAUUUAGCAACAAAUGGGGUUUUCUCACAGUAUCAUUGGGCUGAAAUUUGGAUGCAAGAUACAUAAUUUAAUUAGCUUUCCAAAUAUUAUAGUUUGAGGCCGAUCAUAGAUUAGAUCAAAAUUUAUGUAUGUUUUACUGAAGAUUAAUGUUCUGUCUACCGGUUCAAUACGAGAGAAAAAAAAGAAGAAAAAUUGAUUUCCUUAUUUUUGGUUUGUCUUAGCCUAAAAUUCUACCAGGACGUGGUUUUGACCUAUAUCUACUAUUUUAGAAAUUGUUUAGGCCACAUUUUAUUUUGUACCUGAAUUUUAGGUUUCAGAGUUCUGGAGAGACGAGAGAAUCUUUCUAAUCCAUGUUUUUAUCUCUUUAAUCUUAUUGUGCAAAUUUUAUCAUUGAUCUUUUUUCUCUGCUUAUGUUUGAGUAGUUUCAUAGUUAGGUAUUAGGGUUCAAAAGAAUUGAUGAGAAUGAAUGUUUAGGAUUGUUUGAUUGGGAAUCUUCAUUAGAUUUCUUCGCUUGGAUUGUUCUUAAUGCUUGAACUUGAUUGAUCACCUAGUUCAUGAUCUUACUUUAAUUGAAUGCAGGGGGAGUUGAAUUGAUUGCUUGAAAAUAAUAUAUGUGAGCAAAGUUCAUUAGCCAACAUGAGUUGAUGUUAUUGCGCUUUGUGAACCUUUUGAAACUAGCUUAAUGUGUGUCUAAUCUCUUACGCUCAACGGGAGUUAGUUCUGUAGGUUGUUAAACAUAGUGAUUGGAGCUACAUGAGUAGAAAGAUUAUACAACUGUGUUUUGUGUUCUAUAAUGGUGCUUAAUUGAUUCUUUGAUAAAUUGGUUACAUUUAUGAUCUGAUUUCCUGCGAAAUCUCUAAUACCUAACGUUUUGUGUGUAUAAGUUUUAGCUUUUAUUACAUUGUACAUACUGCAUAUUUACUUCUUCUUAGCCUUAGGAAAACAAAUACCAAUAUUUCCGCCUUAGCUUGACUCUAUUCUCGGAGACUUGUUGUGCAACCUUGGUCUAUGUAGAUCUGAUCCCUUAUAUACUACUAUGAUUUAUUGUGCAUUUGCAGUGUGAUUAAUGAUUAAAAAAUUCAGCUAUCAAUAAGUGGGUUAAAUUUAUCAAGCGUUCUAUUGGAUCAAAAAGCAGAACUCAAAAGAAAUAUUGUCAAAUGUUAUAAAUCAUAUGUUGAUAUUUUAGUUUUAUUAAAUGAACAACUCCUUUUUCCUUUUCUUUUUUCUUUUUUUUUUCUUUUUUCCUUUUUUGCCAACAAUGAUUACUCUACUAAAAAUAGACACCAAUUGAUCUUUUUAUAAAUCAUACUAGAGAUUGACCCGCACGCCCGUGCGAGUGUUAAUUUUUACUUUCUUAUAAAUCGAUAUUUUAUUUUUAUGAUUAGUAUUAUAUAUUUUAUAUGUGUCAUAAUAUAAUUAAUUGCAUAAGUACUUUUAGAUUUCUAUACAUCAUAAUCGAACCUGAAUCAAAUAGAGUAAUAUGAUUACUUUUGGUUAUUUGGUUAUUUUUAGUUUAAUUUGAAUUCAACAUACCCGAAUUGAAUCGGUUAAUAUUCUUACUUUUCAUACAAAUAUCCGUACCGGCGUCAAAUACAUUAGUUUUUGGAUAUUUGUAGGUUUGUAUAUAUCAAGACUGAAUUCAUCUGGACCCGAUUCGAAACACACAUGAAAAUUUAUAAUACCGAAAUGAAGUCUAGUUUCAAAACUCAAAAAGCAUGAUAACCCACAGAAAUAACUCGUAGCUGAAUAGUUAUCCGAAUGUCCAUGUCUAACCGAUACAUAAGUAAAUAAAAAAAAUUGUUAACCAUUUUGAAUUCUUAUCACAAAUAGAGUGGUUUCAUUCAAAUAUGUCGAAUUAUUAUAGUUAAUAUGUAAAUAAUCCUGGCAAAAUAUUAUAGUAAAUAUAAUUAAUGAGAUAGUUAAAAAGUGAGAAAAUGAAUGUAAAAGAUAAAAUAAAAAAAUUGAAAACAAAUAAGUUUUGUUUUUCAUGUCACUAUUAUAUAUCAUAUAUAUGUCAUCAUAUAAUUAAUCAUAUUUUAUAUGUACCAUAAUAUAAGUAAUCAUAUAAUUAAUAUUAUUUUAUACAUACCAUCAUAUAAAUAAUCACAUAUAUUAUAUUUAUAAACUUAAUAUGAAAUAUAAAAACCAUAAUUUAAGUUGGUGUUUUUAAUUAAGUUAUGUAUUGUAUUUUUCUUAUAUAUAGUGAAAAUAUUUUUUAAAUGGUUAUUGGAAAAUAUUUUAGUAAAUUUUUAAAAAAUAUAUAUAUAUAUAUAUAUUUGAAUCAAUUAUUUAUAUAAAUUAAUUUUAAAUUAUUAUUUUGAUUUGAAUUUUGUAUAGAAAUAAUUAAAAUUGAGAAAAAUGAAUGCAAAAGAUAAAAUAAAAAUUGAAAACAAAUAAAUUUUGUUUUGUACUUCUGUAAUAAAUGAGAUUAACUUAUUUAGUAAAUAUAAUAGAUGAAGGGUUAGAAUUGAUUAACAAUAUAAUAAAAAUCUUUUAAAAAAUCAAUUAAGAAAAGCAAGUAUUAUUUUCUACUGUUAUUCAUGCUUCCAAACAAUUCUCAUUUAUACUACUAUCCAUGUUUCCAAACAAUUCUCAUUUAUACUACUAUCCAAGUUUCCAAACAACUCUCAAAUGUACUUCAGUUUUAAUAAUAUAGAUGUUUCUAUCUUCUUUUAAUUUCAAUUUUUUAUUUUUAUAAAAUUUGUUUAAUGUAAUAUUUGUUUUUUGGCUAUUUAUUUUGAUGUUAUUAAAACAUAUUGUAUUUAUCAUAAUUUAAAAUAUCAAAAAAAUAUAUUUAAUUUUAUAUGUGUUGACAUAUACUUUAAAUAUAGAAAUAUUUGUAAUUUAUCUUUGUAAAAUAAUUUUGUAGAUUCUACAGUGAUAUACAAAUAAUAAUAAUAUUAUUAAAGAGAUACAAAUUUAAUUUUAAAUAUAACCCCUUAACUAAGAAGCACUUCUACACAAUUAUUUUAAGUCGAACUAGAUUUUGACCCAUGCUUUGAAAGAGAAUGAUUUAUUUUCUUACUAAAAUUUAAUUGAAAAUAUAUAAAAACUUGUUAAUUAUUUGAUUAUGCUUUUAAGUAAUUUAAUUUGUAAAAUAAUUUGUUAGAUUCUAGAAUGAUAUACAAAUAAUAAUAAUAUUAUUAAAGAGAUAAAAUGUAAUUUUAAAUAUAACUAAGAAGCACUCCUAACCAAUUUUUUUAAAGUAGAACUAGAUUUUGACAUGUGCUUGUGUUUCAAAAAAAAAAGACAUGUGCUUUGAAAGUGAGGGAUUUAUUUUCUUACUAAAAUUUAAUUGAAAAGAUAUAAGCACUUGUUAAUUAUUUAACUUUUUUUAAAGUAAUUUAAUUUGUAAUUAUCUUUGUAAACUAAUUUUGUAGAUUCUACAAUGAUAUACAAACAAUAAUAUUAUUAUUAAAGAGAUAAAAAUGUAAUUUUAAAUAUAACCCAUUAACUAAGCACUCCUACCCAAUUUAUUAUCUAACCUAUACUAAAAGAAGAAUAUCUUCAACAAAGAGAGUGUCCACAUCAGCAGAUAAAUUCCAGCCAAUAAAAUCAUUAGAACAUGCCAGCUCAUCUCAUGUAAAAAACACGAAUUAACUAAUUACAUUUGCACGGAGAAAUCGAUCCCUCUUCCCAAAAACCACUAACGCUAACUUUUUGGGAUUCAAGGAGUUUUGAUCUCGAGCUUUAAAUAACUUUGUACUAAAGUUCAAUUUCUCUUUCAUCCUCCAUUUCACUCUAAUCUGCAAUUGGAUUAAUCUAAGGCGACCUUUUGCAUCCUCAACUCUCUUGCAAUAUAAUAUCACGAAUAUGUGGAUCGUGACUCAGCAAGCAUGAUUCUGACGAUCCCUGGUGUAGAUCCAAGCUCCACGAUGUUAAGCCUUGAUGAAUCUGACUCGUCGGAUGUUAAACUCAAAAAGGCGCGAGCAGCCGCCAGUACUUAUCGAGAAGCUAAUGAGAGUUGUUACAGACAGCUAAAGAUUGAAGGAGAUGCAUUUGAGUGUUUCAGUGGAACAGAGAAAGAGAUUGUUAAGAUGAUAAAGACAGUUAUGAUGAUGAAUGUACAAGGCAAGCCAUGCCUAGCCAAUCUAUAGGUGAUUUUUCUCCUUUUAUUUGUUGCAUUUUCAUUUCUUAGUCCGACUGUAUCCGCCUCUCAACUUAUGAAUUGUGGUUUGAGCUAGAGAAGCAACACAAGCUCAUACACGGCGUGUUUUCAGGUUUGAAUCUUUCAAGAUUCCAGUCUAAAAUCACCUCAGCAUCUUGAUCCCUACUCUAGAUUUUAUAUUCUAAAAUAUUUCAAUUGUGUUAUUAUAUGGAUUGUUACAGCCUGUGCUUCUGUUUUUUUCUUCGUAUUGACGUUUUAUUUACAGUAUUGUGCAGUUUAUCUGGAAACAUCUGAAAAUUGAUUCAUUUAGUUGUCCGGCACGAGACACAUUUAAGAAAGUCACAGAGUCAUGGGGCUUGGAAUUCACAGCUACCUGCUAGCUAGGAAAAGUAAAGGAAACGUUUUGUACUGAGACUUUUACUCAUACCAAAUAUUUUUUACUGUUUAUCUUAUAUUUAUUUGCAGUGGUUCAGACUAUAAGACAAUGGUAUGUUUAAAUGUUCGUCAACCUUGAGAGGUGGAUGGAUAAUAUGGUUUUUAAUCCUUGCUAGCUGUGGUAUGUUGAAUUGGAGAUGAUGUUUUCAAGCGAGUUGCGGCCUAAAAGGGAUCUAUUUAGUAAGAUGAAUAUCCUAAUUUUAAUAUAAGUGCAACAUGUUUGUGUUUAAUAUUCCCCAACAGUUCUGACCUCUCCUCCCCGUUUUGUAUUAGGUGCAUUAAUGUUUUAGAUUUAUUGGGCAUAUGAAGCUCAUCGAUGGGCAUCAUCUCCAGCAACGUCCAGUCCUUGACAUGAUCACGGGGAUGGAGAUUGUUGGUACACGUACAACCUAACGAGUAAGCAAAUUGUAUUCCAUAUUACUACCCAACUUCUUAAUGCUUCCAUAUUAAUUUACUCACUCACCAUUGAAUGACCAAAUGCAAGGGCUCAAUACUAUAUCAUGUUUAUCUCGACUGUCUGCAAUUGCUUUUAGUUGUUCGCCACUCAUUACAACUUCACACUGCUUCUGUCAUUUUUCCUGUCCUAACCUUUGGAUUGUUCCUAUGUCGUCCCAAUUUCCAAACACACAGGGAAGGUCUGGUUCAGCUCAAUGUCUUCCUCCAGAUUCCAGAGUAUUCAUUGACAACAAGGUCAGUCGACCCAUUCAGUAUCUAUCUUGGUUUGUGCUUCUGCUUUAAAAAUUUUCCAAUGUCUUCCUUCCACCUGAACAAUAUAUCGUGUUGUAGGCUAGCUGUGCAUCCUAACGCGUCUGAACUGGUGAACACAUCGAAGAUAACAAAGAUUGAAACCAUCACAAUUGGUGCGAUAGUCACCUUCGUCAACAAUGAAUCCGUUCAGGUACAGCCAUAUUUCACUCCCGCCUGAAUAGUAUACUUACACCCUAAUUGUUCAACUUUUUUUUUCUCUAAUAAAUGUUGAAUGCUUAUUCCUACUGCAAAGAGACAGUUGACGAUGUCGAAAGAAAUCCUGGGUGGUAUUACAAAGGGCCAACAUCGUUGAUGUGAGAAUGUUACCAGGGUUGUGAAGUAAUGUCACUGACACAGUUACACUGACGAACCUCAAUCUACUAUUCUGAUGUUGCAAAGUAUUUUUAGUUCCCCAACUCCUCUCUGUUUUUUUUUGGUAAAACAUUUCCGUUAUAAUUACAGGUUCCGUGCUGAGAUAUAUGUGUAUGACAGUGGUGACAAAGCCAGCGUCGUACUCCUUUGAGAUGCAGGCACUGAACGUACCAGAAGACAAGCUUCUGACUUACUCGACAAUUACUUGGGAGGUAUCUUAAAUUGAGCUUAAUCUUCACCUCCCCCACCUAUUGAAACUCACGUACAGUAUUCGUGAGUUAUAUAUCUCAGGCUAAUGAAGAGUUGGUUGGUGAGGAAGAGGUUCCAACUCCGCAUUGUUUGGUUGAUGCAAGCGGCCAGUUACACAAGUUCAGGGUCAAAGUUAUCCCAUGAAAUUUUACAUCCAAAAGGCAGACCAUCAUAGUCACCAAAGUUUUUUGUCCUGCGCUCCUUCCACCUCGGAAAACAACAGUGGACAAUCCAAGCUAGGCGCUAGAUGUGGGUCACCGCCUCUCUCCAGUCAGUGAUGCUGCUAACUGUACCGAAGGUUCAAGAAGCUUGGGAGGUUUUCUGGUGAGGCAAAUUCAUCAACCAAGGAGAGGGAGAGGAACGAAGAGAAGAAAGACAAAUGUCCUAGGCUUAGCACCUAAUAAGACCUCCCUGCCUCCACGUACUCACUAAAUUGCCGCUUUAUGUCACCAUUGGAACAUUUAUUUCAUCUGUUGCUAUGACAAUUUUUUACUUUUGGUUGCAUUUUAAUUGCUGUUGAUUGGAAGUUCCCAUCUUAAUUUCCAAAACCUUUCCUGAACUAUAAGUACCGUCUUACUGGUUUUACAUAACUCUUGCUUUCCUUUAUGGACUGUGUGAGCUAUAAUAAGGUUACUAUUUUAAAUAUUGAGAUCCACAUCAAAUGGAAUAGUGUUGGAUGUGAUUGAGAUUUUAAAAAUUAAAGAUGUGUAUUUAUCAAAACAAUUGUUUUUGCUCUACUCUUCUAUUUGUGGCCACUUAUUCGGAGAACAUCCUGAUAAAUUAUAUUCUAUCCGGUUCAAAAAUGAUAAAUUUUAAAUUUUCACACAUAUUAAGAAAAUAUAUACUCUCUCUGUUUCACAAUAGUUGAUGUUUUAUAAGAUGUUUGUUGUUUCAAAAUAGAUGAAGUUUUAAUAUAUUUAUAUUAUUUUUAACUUUAUUGAAAACUAUGUAACCAAUUAGAUUUUGCAGUCAUUUUUUUAAUUGGUUAAAUGAUUUUUAAAUUAUAUUUGUAAAGUUACUUUUUGAAGAAAAAUAGAUUUCUUAGUCUACGUGCAAUGAGUCAAAAUAUCAUGUAUUUUGAAAGAGAGGGAGUAUUACAUUUUGAUUAAUGUAUUAUCUUUGUAAUUAACUAAUUUUCACAAUUUUUAACCAAUAUAAUUUCAAUAAACACAAUUAGUAUUUUUGAAAUUAUUUAUCAUUAAUUAAUGAAUUGGAGAUGUAAAAAUAUAUUUCUUAAACAUAUUUUUUUUAUUAAAUAUGGAGCUUUGGAAAAGAAAAGAAUAUAAUAAUAUAAUCCAAUUUGCAAAAUAUUUGUUUUCUGUUUUGUUUUGUUUUGUAUUUUUUAUAUUUGUUAUUUGUUUUCAAGGGAAAAACAUUAGUCCUAGAAGAGUAGAACGUGUAUAAGGAAUCUACUAUAGUCUUCCUAAAAGGUUAGGAAUACAUAUAAUUCACUCAAUAUUAACACAACUGUACUGCUAUUUUUUUUGUAACUGAACUCCUACUAUAUUUAACAAGAAAAUUUACUCCAAUCUUAAAGAGACUUUGAUUCGGACAGUCAAACCGUACUGCUAUUUUCAUAACACAACUCAUUUUCUUUCUCUAUUGAUGCAGAUAAUAAAGACGAGGAAUCGUUGAAAAAAAAAAAAAGAGGAAUAAGUCUACAAGUACAAAGAGGUAGUCGAGACAUAGGUUGGUCAUCUCAUAUGAGGAAAUGUAAAGUAAGUUCUCUUUCCUGAUGCCUGAAAACAUGUUCUCACUUCAUUGAAACCAUAAUCUCAGAAAUUUACCAUUUAUGUCUAUAAUAAGGUGUUCCGUAUAUACGAUUAUCUACAACAAGCGAUCAUACUUUUAUGUGUAUUCACUUAUAUUUUUUGAAACAAAAACAGGGGGUGAUUGGUUGGGUUGUAGGAAGUGACUUUAGCUUUAAUUUCCAUCUACAACCUUAAAUACUACCAAUCAUGAUUUAUCUUAGUUUUUAAAGCUACAACCCAAAACCUAAAGCUACAGCAAAAACAGACAAAAAAUGGUUGUAAAAAUCUUAUUUUCUAAAGCCUCAUCCUUUUAGCUGUAGGAAAUUUUAAAGCUACAACCCUUAAAGCUAAAUCAAAAAAUUCUACAGACUAAAUUCUAAAGUAAAUUUUCUAUAGUUACAGUCCAACCAAUUACCCCUAAUGUCUUCGAUUUGUUGAGCUUGGUCUAAAGCUCAAUGUUUUUUACUUUUGUUAACGCUAUUUCGUCUCAUAUAUAACGGUCCUUAUGCAUGCUUUCAUAUUGACUUCUAUUUCAAUGUUUUUCCAUAAAAACUAAAAAAUAUUGGGUGAAGAAUAUUCACAAGAAUCCGAAAGCAAGUCAUCAACAAAUAAAAAAGAACAGCAAGAUUUCUAACCGCCGUCAUUUCUAUGUCAAACUUUUAGUUAUUUUGUUUUUUUUUUUAAAUAAUAGUAUCAUAUAUUUCCACAAAAAUUUAAAAAUAAAAUAUUUGACCAUACAAAGUACUUUUAUUUUACAUUUUAUUUAAUAUCCAAAGUACCAUAAUAAAUAAACUAAUAUCCAAAUUACAUUUAUUUAUAUCUAAACAUUUAAUCGUUAAUUUUGCAUUUUUUAUAAUAAAACUUAUUUACAAAUAAUAAAUACCAAAAUACAAUAUUGAAAAUAUAUUAUAGUUUCAAUAUUGAAUAAAUCCGGGCGUAGCCCGGACAAAAUCUCUAGUCUUACUAAAAUUUAAUUGAAAAGAUAUAAACACUCGUUAAUUAUUUGAUUAUGUUUUUUAAGUAAUUUAAUUUUAUGUAUAAUUGUGUUGAAUGUAUCUGACUGUAAAACAAACAGUUUAUUAAAUUUUGGCUGGUAAAAGAAAUAAUAAUCUAUAGAAUUUAACUGGCAUGGGCUAAAGAUAUGGACUGUCAUCAUUUAAAAGAAAACAUAUAAUGAGCUACUAUCAUACGAUAUUUCAGUUUAAGUAUGUAAAACAUUUUAAUUAAAUCAACUCGGUAAAAACCCGCCAUUAACUCGUGAUCCAACACUGAUAUGAUAGACACCAAAAAAAGUGUAGAAAGUGUUAGGGAUUCUGCAAAAAAAGUAUUAUUGGCUACUUUUAGUAUCAUCUUCCUCGUUUCCUUUGUAGACUACAUGCUAAAGAUUGCAGAUUCUUCAGCAUAAAAGGUAACAUCUUCAGCUAAAACAUAUUUAUGAAAACGAUUGUAUUUUUUGUCUAUUUUACAGUUUAUAAAAAAAAACUCAAUUGCUGAUACUUAUUAAGAACAAAUCUAGACUACACACUGCUAAUAGACCUGUCGUAGGACUCGUCUAUGUCGUCCAAAAUAAGUGAUUAAACUCAUGUUUAGUUGGCCUCUAUUUGCACCGUAGGACACAACUAUUGCAUAAGGUAUACAUGCUCCUUAUAAUAUUAAGAAAUUGGAGACUGAGUUGAAACUGAAACAUGUUUUAUUUCCAUUCUGAAAUAUUUGUAGAGUAUUACACCGAGUAUUUGAUAUACAUGAAGUAGCGAUUCAACAACAUUAAUAUCAGAAUACUAGAUGAUAAUCCGCACGCAUGCACGGAAUGAUUUUUAUAAUAAUAUUUGUUUAUUAAAUGGUUUUAACAUUUUACAACACUACAAUCUUUAUUGAUUAUAAAUGACGAAUACAAAUAUUGGUCUCUUAAAUAUAUCAUCGUUAUUGAAGAGUUAAUGUAUUACAUCUCAUUAUUAUUUUUAAACUUCGUAUGCACAUAAAUAAAUUAAGUUUUGCGGCUGUUUUUUUUUUGUAUUUUCUAGUCAAUUAUUGUUUGUGUAGAAUUAAAAAAAAAUGAAAAUAACAAAAAAAAUGAUUUUUUCUAAAGUAAAUGAAUGAAUUUUUUUUUCUGUCAUACUGAUCGGAUAUAUUUGAGUGAAACUGAGAGUAAAUUUUUUUAUUCCAACUAUUUUUAUUAUAAUCUCUAAUCAUGCAAUCCAAUCACACUUUAGUGUAAACUAAAAUGAGAGCGAAAGUGAAAAUGUUAUCCCCACGGAAACCCCACGUGUUAUUCACCAAUAGUUUCCUUAAUGAAAUAGAAACAUGUGCUUAAAAUUCACCCAAUCAAUAUCCCACUACAAAAUUACAAUAAAAUAAAUAACAGCCCCAACUGUUUCCACUUGUCAGGAAAGGAAUAUAUGAAUAACCGUUUCCUCCAAAACUGACCACUUUUUUUAAACUUUUUUUUUUUGUCAAAACACAUUUUUUAUUGUUUGAUAGUUAUUUUUUUUUGUAACUUUGUUUGAUAGUUAUUAUCUGGUGAAUAAUUAUUUUUAUGUAAAACAAAUUGAUAUAUAUAUAUAUAUAUAUAUAUAUGAUAAAAUAAUUAUUUUAAGUAUUUUUGGUGAUUUGAGUAUACUUUAACUAUUUCAGAUAUUUACUUUUGACUAUCUAUAUAUAUUUUCAAGUAUUUAAACCAAUUUAAAAGUAUCAUUUUUGAUGUUUUAUAUACGUUAAAUCUAAAAAUAAUUAAUAUAUAUAAGUAUAUAAAUCUAUUUUUAGAUAAAUUCGGAUACCUAAAUACUUCGGUUCGGAUCAGAUUCGGUUCUCUAAAUAACAAAAUUUUGAAUAAUUAGAAUAUUUAAUCAAUUUAUGUUUGGGUUUGGUACUAUAUCUUUGGAUCGGUAUCGGUUAUGUUCUUCGGAUUCAUUUUUCCAAAUCCUAAUAAUUACAUGAAAAACAAAUAUCAACAUAUUUUUCAAAAUAUACACCCGCGCGCCUGCGCGGGUCAAAAUCUAGUUCAUUUCUUAUACAUUAAACAGAGAGUUUGUCUGGCCACAAGGUCAGCUCUAUUAAUAACUAGUCUAGGGAUAAAUUUAAAUUCAACAGCAGUAAAUAGAGCAGAUAAAAGGUUGAAAAGAACAGCGAUCUCUAAAUGUCUUCCUCUUGAAUUCACAAGGUUAGUGAGAAUCUGAAAGUCUGAAAAGAUCAAGAGAGCGUUAAUCCCACACUGAAGAGCAGAUAUCAUGGCGUUUCGUAACGCCAAAGUUUCCGCAGCAAGAGGCGAUGCCACAUAGGAAGCAGUCGCUGAAAAAAGUCUUUUCCUGGAAAGGAAGAAAGACAAAAGUGAUCUCUUCCAUAAUGGGAAGGAGGAUGAAUGUGAUCUCUCCCAGGCUAAGGAGGAAGUUGUUGAAGCCUUUUGGUAUAAAACGAAGUGAAAUAUACCCUUAAUGGCAUGAUUAUCGGGAAUGAUAAAGCUUGUAGAAUUUGAUGGGCUGGAGAAAGUGUCAAGGCCCACUAGAGAAAACCAUUUGGCCCAGCCCAUAUUUUUACUCCCGUGAGGAAUGGACAGUAGAACGCCGGUAAAUUGCUGUAGCUCGGAAGAUUCCUCGUCGAUGGAGGCUUGCCUGCAACUGAUUGGUCCUUUACUCUCAAGUAGGAGGAACAUAGCUGUGAUAGAGGUCGGUAGCAGGUGGAGAAUAGAGAUAAAGCUAAAGGGUGGUGACGAUCUUCGAGAUCUGCUCGGGAAAGUUCUCGCUCUGGUACCGCACAGAUCUGUAGAGAUGGGCGGCGAGGAAGGAUAUGUCAUGUCGAGGGAUACAGGUGCCGGAGUCGUCGAAGAGGGAACAUAUUGUAGCUCCGAUGGAGCGUUAGGUGGGUCAGGAGGUUCUGGUGGUUGAGCAUGGUCGGGAAGCUCCAGAGAAAACAGAUUUGGAGAUUCCGGAACAAGCGAAUUCAAAGUUGAACCCUUCACCUUCAGACUUGAACCAGUGGUAGCAAUAUUGGAAGAAAGGUUUCUCACCGGAGACAUAGAUCUUUCAGGAAUACAGCCAGACAAAAAACGCAGUCUUCUAAGUUGUAGGAGGUCUUCACCUUUUGGUGAGAGGGUUCUUCGGGUAAACCCAGCAUGGGUCCCGAGAGUGAGAAGCAUAGCUUCUCAGGAGAGAAGAACAGCGGAGAGGGUCAGGCACCAAACGUCCAUGCUAGAUCGGAGUUGAAGCUUUGUGUUGAUGGCGGCCGCCUUGGAAUUCGUGUCUGAGAGAAAACACUAGGGCGAACUCUAAUUAACCAUUUAACCCUUCAUCAAGAAAAACAAACUUUUAUAGUGUUAUAUAAAAAUAAAAAUUGUAAUGGAUUGACUAGUAAUAAUAUAUAAUUUGACGUUUUUCCAUUACAGAUUCAGUGAAAUCCUAGAAUAUAAAGAUAUAAUUACGUAAGUGAUUAGUAGGUAAAUAAUAAGGAUUUUUCUUUUUUGAACAACCCAAAUAAUAAGGAUACAUCACCAUUAACACUGUAAUUGCCAGCAUGGCACUUUAAAAAGGAGAAAUCUAUAUAACCUGUCUUACGCGCGUACAUGUCGUACCAAGAGGGUCCUACAAUAGUAGCCUAUAUAUUUAUCUCUUCCUCACUUCACUCUAUUUCACUUCACUCUUUUCUUCAGCUACGAAAACAGGGCAAGUUCAAGACAAGACAAACCCUUCAUUUUCAGUUCGCUUUUUCGGUAAAUUCAGAUUCUAUUGUAGUAAAACUGACGAUUUUGAUGUCGCUAGUAUUUUAGAUUUUAUUUUCGUGUUUGUUUUACAUUAUGCUCUGUUUUAGUUUGAUUUUAUUUGCAAUUUACUCUGUUCGAAGCUAUCUUUAAAGUGAAAUGAAGCUUAAUUUCAGUUCAUAUUUCAAUGACAAGCAAGAUAAUUCGUGAAAAAAUCAAUUUAUAAAAACAUAUAAUGUAAAAUUCGUCAAAAUAUUUAUAAAUAUUUUUUAUUGGGCAUUUCGUCAACUUUUUGAUUUUUUUUCUGGUUUUGUUUAACUGAUAAAACUUUUUACUCUACUUCAUCGGGACCAGACCGGAGAUGGAAAACAACAACAAUGUCUUGGCGGAGAUUAGAGGUGGGCGUUCGGGUACCCGUUCGGGUUCGGAUCGGGUAUUUCGGAUUUUCGGGUAUUUCGGUAUAGAGGUGUAGAACCCGUUCGGGUAUUUCUAUAUUUCGGGUCGGGUUCGGGUAUUUUUAGUUCGGAUUCGGUUAUUUCGGAUCGGGUUCGGAUAUUUAGAUUUUGAAAAAAAAAAUUAAUAUUUUUAUUUCUCAAGUUUCUAGUAUUUAAAAAUAUAACUUUCAGUUAACUAAUUUUUUAUUUUUAAUAGAUUGAAUAGUUAAUAGAUUUGGAGUUAAAGUGCCCACCCCUAGCGGAGAUGAAGCCUAAGAAGCGUGCUGGACGUAAAAUCUUCAAGGAAACACGUCAUCCGAUCUACAGAGGAGUGCGAAGUAGGAACGGCGACAAAUGGGUUUGCGAAGUCCGAGAACCCAUUCACCAGCGCCGAGUAUGGCUCGGAACUUAUCCUACAGCGGAGAUGGCGGCACGUGCUCACGACGUGGCGGUGCUUGCUCUGCGCGGGAGAUCCGCGUGCUUGAAUUUCUCCGACUCAGCUUGGCGUUUGCCGGCGGCCGAAUCCACCGAUCCGGACACGAUCAGGCGCACGGCUGCUGAAGCGGCAGAGAUGUUUAGGCCUCCAGAGUUUAGUACCGGAAUUACGGUUUUGCCCUCGUCCGGUGGUGGUGAGCUUGACACAGUGGAGGAAGGAGAGGGAGUCGCGGGAAUGAUGAUGAGGCUUGCGGAGGAGCCGUUAAUGUCGCCGCCGAGAGCGUACGUCGACAUGAAUACGAGUGUUUACGUGGAAGAAGAAAUGGGUUACGAAGAGCUGUCACUUUGGAGUUACUAAAUUACGUAUUUAACGAUACGUAUAUUAAUGUAUAUAUGUAUGUAUGUAUGUCUCAUUUGUGAUGACCAAAUGGGUUUAAGAAGAUACUCUCUCGGGAGAUAAAAGGUUGGAAAAGAUUCUCGGAAUCUUUGGUGCUUGUGUUUUAUGUGUCUUUUUUAGUGAACCAAACCUUCGUUAUGAGGUUUUCUUUGCUUUCGUAUGUUUAAAAUAAAUGGGCUUAGAUAAGUAAAGAAGUCCAGUGCAAUGAGUCAUGUUGACUGUAUAUUUUUCUGGUUUACCUCCUCUAGGUACCAAAGUGUAUCAUCAUAAGUAUGUAAUGUUCAAAAAUGUAUUACAAAUUAAUGUAAAAUAAUUUUCAUAUUCACUUAUUAGUUAUAAGAAUUUAUGUUAUAUAAUCAUCAUUUUCUAUUGUAAUAGGGAGAAUAGUGUGUUACAUGGAGUUUGGCAACUUAUGUUACAUUCCCUUUUAUAUAACAACGAUUUUGCAUAUAUUUGACCAUGAAACAUGAUUUCGUUGUCAUAAAAAGACCAUGAAACAUAAUCUACCAAAAAAAAAAAAAAAGACCAUGAAACAUAAUUUUGACUGGAGAAAUGUUGAUAUUAAUCUUAGUCCCAGGAUUCGCUGUGCUGGUCUGGUUGAAUUGAAGUCCCUAGUGGAAAAAAAUAGAAAUGGGUCUCUGUCCCAUUACCUAUUGGACCAUUCCAUAAACAUAGUAUUUUGUUUGCGACUUGUGAACGAGUGGUUUUACUGGCAUUACUGUAUUGUUGUUAAAGCAUUUCCACUUGAAACUUAUUAACAUAGAGUUCUCAACUCAAAUGCAUAUGUAAGUAAUAUACAUAUUAGCAUUUAACUUUGACUAUCUCAAAAUCAUGGAAACUCAACCCAAAAUAUACAGUUGAACCAUUUAUUUUAUUUUAUUUUAUUAUGUGAAUUUUUGUUAGAUACAAGUAAUGAAGAUGCUCUUUGUUAACCAGCAAUACAUUUUCUAUUCCAAUUUAGUUAAUGAAUGUUUAAGAACUUUCUUAAUAAACAAAUGACGUUCUCAAUGUCAGCACACACAAGACGUCCAUGUGUGUCCGUCAGCAAACACAGGACGUUCGUGUGUGUCCAUGUGUGCCCGUCAGCACACAAAAUGAGUCAUGUUGACUGUAUAUUUUUCUGGUUUACCUCCUCUAGGUACCAAAGUGUAUCAUCAUAAGUAUGUAAUGUUCAAAAAUGUAUUACAAAUUAAUGUAAAAUAAUUUUCAUAUUCACUUAUUAGUUAUAAGAAUUUAUGUUAUAUAAUCAUCAUUUUCUAUUGUAAUAGGGAGAAUAGUGUGUUACAUGGAGUUUGGCAACUUAUGUUACAUUCCCUUUUAUAUAACAACGAUUUUGCAUAUAUUUGACCAUGAAACAUGAUUUCGUUGUCAUAAAAAGACCAUGAAACAUAAUCUACCAAAAAAAAAAAAAAAGACCAUGAAACAUAAUUUUGACUGGAGAAAUGUUGAUAUUAAUCUUAGUCCCAGGAUUCGCUGUGCUGGUCUGGUUGAAUUGAAGUCCCUAGUGGAAAAAAAUAGAAAUGGGUCUCUGUCCCAUUACCUAUUGGACCAUUCCAUAAACAUAGUAUUUUGUUUGCGACUUGUGAACGAGUGGUUUUACUGGCAUUACUGUAUUGUUGUUAAAGCAUUUCCACUUGAAACUUAUUAACAUAGAGUUCUCAACUCAAAUGCAUAUGUAAGUAAUAUACAUAUUAGCAUUUAACUUUGACUAUCUCAAAAUCAUGGAAACUCAACCCAAAAUAUACAGUUGAACCAUUUAUUUUAUUUUAUUUUAUUAUGUGAAUUUUUGUUAGAUACAAGUAAUGAAGAUGCUCUUUGUUAACCAGCAAUACAUUUUCUAUUCCAAUUUAGUUAAUGAAUGUUUAAGAACUUUCUUAAUAAACAAAUGACGUUCUCAGUCUUUUAAAUAAAGUUUAUCAUUACUUCAUUAAGUUAUCUCUAUCGACAUGACUUGUUAUUGUUGGACCAAAUAUGUAAAUAUUGAUGUAUAUAUUAUGAGUUGUAUUAAGGUAGUUUAGACAAAUACUAAAACACAUAAGUAUAAUCUCUGUGUAUAUGUACUACGUUUCAGGCCAAAGAAACAAACAAUAAAACUGGUUUUCAUAUUUUGAGUUUUCAGACAUGAUAUCAGAGCAAUUGGCAAAGCCUACCAAUUUUGCUUGAUGUCGAUCUUUGAAUCUGUUUUUAUUCGUUUCGUUUCUUUGACCUUGUGUACAUCAUGUUCUUUGUGAUGGAGUAGAACUUUUGAUUCAUUAUCAUGAGAAACGAUCGAUGGUGUUGUUGCGGCUGUUAGGGUGAAAACACGAAGAACAAUUGAUUCUUAUGAUAUCUCUUCAUGAGAUAAUCCUGGCUGGUAAUGUGGUUUCUCAGCCGCUCCUUCGGAGACCUAAUUACGACAAGUAGUCUACCAAUAUUCGCUUUGUACUCAAAGCAGGAAGUUUGGGUUUGUAGAUGGGAAAAUCCAAAAAUCUGAUGCGAACUCUGGAGAUCUCAACGAUUGGGAAGCAAACAAUGCUAUGGUGAUUUCAUGGCUGAAGCUCACAGUUGAAGAGACCUCCUUGCGAACCACCCUACCGGUUCAUGAGUAUGCUAACGAACUAUGGUCUCAUAUUCAGAAGAGAUUGUCGAUACGUAAUGGGUAGUGAGUCCAGAGGCUUAAGACGGAACUCACCAAUUGUCAACAAAAAGAACUUCAAAUAAAAUAAUAUUAUGGGAAUACUCAACUGUGGAUAGGCUUGAGUGACUAUCAACAAGCUAAUACACAUGAACUGUGUAGUUUUUUUUCUUUCUAUUCCGCAUGUUCUUAGAAACUAAUUUUCCCUAUAUGGAAUGUACAGCUUUGUCUAUUUUGAUUUAGGGUCAUACAAAAAGUUCGCAAUAUUUGGACCGAUACUGGAUAUAUAAGAUGCAGAUAACAUAAUGAGAUUUAUAAUAAUGAUGUGUCAUACAGCUGAUAAAAUAAAAAGGACAGUCAGUUGGUACAACCAUACUUGGCACAUUCUCCUGGGUGUUUGUAUCUUGAUUCAUGUAUAUUUGGUCGUGCUGCUGAUUGUGUAAAAAUAAUGAUAGUAAGUUCAAGAUGUGAUAUAAUAUUUUCUUCUUCCUUUGUCUCAUUUUACAAAGUUACAAUUAGCUAAAUGUUUUAAUUUAUCUUCUUGUUUUGCUGUUGCUAGUGACUAUGAUCCAAUGGUGACAAAUAGGUCACCACACCAAAGGUAAACGUCAGCUCUUAUAUAUAUGUCAAUGAAAUUCAAGUAUUAACUCAAGGUAUAAUUUUUUAUUUGUUUAAAAUAACCGAUGAAAGAAAUAACCUUUUGCAGAGAGCUUAUUCUAUAAUAGCAUCUCCAAAAGACAUUCUAUAACUUUAAAUAUGAAAUUUUUUUGCUCUCUAAAAAAUCUUUAAUUUGAAAUUUUGAAGAGUGAAACUCUAUAUUUGAAGUUUCACUAAUCAAAACUUCAAAUUUGAAGUUUCAUAUUUUUGUGUGCAUUUUGGCCCCUACAAUUACUCAUCAUAUUUAUGAUUCUUAAAUAUUUGAUCUUUUAUCGUUUUAAUCCUUAAAAUUUUUAUAUUCAUAAAUAUUUCAAUUUUUAAUAACUUCAAAUUUUACACAUAAAAUUAAAUAAAACUUUCAAAUAAAAUUUAAAAUAUUUUAAAACUAAAUUUAGACAACAACAAUAUACAAAAAGAAACCUAACAAAAAAUACUUUUAAAAACUACCUGAAGACAUAAUUGUUACACAAAUUUAAAUACUACAACAACAUUAAUAGUCAGAUAAAUUUGAUUUGGAACCUAUGAAAUCUCUAAAAUAUUAUCCAAACAAAUUUUAUGCAAUCAAAGAUGGUUGUUGUUGUUAUUUCGGAUGUAUUAUUUCUUUUCAGAUCGACUGUUCGUGAGUAUUAAUAUCAUCGAUGGAAGUUAAGUUUUUAAGAAUUAAAAAUAAAGAGAGUCAUUUUUUACUUUGAAAUACAUGAUCAUAUAUGUAUUACAGAAAUAAUUUAUGGAAUAAUAUGGUAUUUUGUUUUAAUUUUAAUAUUAAUUAUGUUAUUUCAAUUUUAUAUUUUAAUAUAAAAUUUAUUAAUUAAUAUUUCUGUAUAUUUUAUAUAUGUUCUAGUUGUUUACAAGAAUUAUAUGAAUAUAAAUUAAAUUAUGAAAAUAUAAAGACUAUAGUAUAAAAUAUAAAUAAUUUUGAAGCUAAGUUUGAAGUAUUUAUUUUGGAGAAAAAUACCUUUAAAUUUCAAAUAUAUAGUUUUGAAAACUUCAAAAUAGAAUUUCUUUUUGAAAAUGCUAUAAAGCAACUUUUAAAACAAAAGCUUUCUAUGUACAGAAACUUUAUUUAUUUUUUUUAUCUUUGUAAGAUUUCUUAUAUGUAAAAAGAGAUGUCACAAUGUAAUUUUGCGUUCCUUCAAUAAGCCAGGCGACUAUUAUGUGGGUUUGAGAAGUGCAAUGUUAAAUUAUCUGGUGACUUACGGAGAUCGAACUGCGAGUUCACCGUAUUGGGAUUAUUCCUCAAGUGCCAAUAAUUCAAUGCCCAUUGGUUAUUUUCUCAUAAAAAAAGUGUCUAUUUACAUAUGUACAUAAAAUGCCAUGAGCGAUUUUUUGGUUUCAGCUCCCAAUACUAACUGCAUUCUAAUCAUGGACCUCAGCUGGGUUAUAACAGAAAUUAUUAUGUCCAUCACGUUACUUCAGAGGAAUUAUACUAGUUUAUGUUUUUUAAUAGGCACCGAUAACAUUUUUCUGAAUUCUACUACUAAUGUACUAAAAGCUAACUUUCCUUCGUAUAUCUGUUACUCGUUAUAAAAUAUAUAUAUAUAUAUAUAUUUUUUUUUUGUUUAGAAAAAAAGGAUAUCUAAAUAAGUAUGCAAUGAAUGUAAAACUUCCUUCUUUUUUUUUAAGUUAAGUUUCGAAAAUUAAAAAAAUGGAAAGUACAAUCUUUCUUUUUUUUUUUAAAAAAAAAAUUGGAAAAACUUGAAGUGCAAGCCAAGGAAAUAUUAAAUGCAAUUAAAUGGAAAUCCGAAAAAGGAAAGUAAAAAAAAAAAUCGAUGGAUCAAAAGAUAUGCCAAAAAGAAAACAGUUUUGAACUCGCCAAGAACAGCAAGAACACAAUGCAAUUUUUUUUUUUUGAAGUUCAAAGGAUUGAAACAAGCAAUUAACAAAAGCCAGAAGGAUAGGAUACAACCGAAGGUGUAGGAGCUUUGAGCUCUGAUACCAAAAUGAUACAGGCCGGGAAACAGUCUGCACGGACGGACAGUCUGAGGUUCGGGAACUCGGACUGGACAGGACGGACGGACGGCUAUGGGACGGCUAGACGGUCGCGAUGGGCUGGGAGUUGGCCGAUCUAGUUCCUGAAACAAAAAGGAUGCUAUUUUUAUGAGUUUUUNNNNNNNNNNNNNNNNNNNNNNNNNNNNNNNNNNNNNNNNNNNNNNNNNNNNNNNNNNNNNNNNNNNNNNNNNNNNNNNNNNNNNNNNNNNNNNNNNNNNUUAUAUUUAAAUUUUAGAAAGAAAUAUAAAUUAAAUUAAACUAUAUAUCAUAUAAAAACCUAUAAAUGUUUUAAUUUAAAAAUUAAGAAAUAUAUAUCAUACUUGAAUUGAUAACAUGUAAAUAUUAAGCGCAGUUUUAAAUUGGUUAGAUCAUUAAAAUAGAUUUGACUUUUACAGAAAAAAUAUUUAUUUGAUAAAUAUUUUGUAAAAUAUAUUAUUAUGUGCAUUACACAGAUUAUUACCUAGUGUAAUUAUAAACUCCGAACACCAUUGUCAGUAGAUUUUCACAUCCGCUAUUUGGCCAAUGGACGACACUAUAAUCCGAUGGAUGAGUUGUUAAUUUUAGUGAUAUAGAUAACUAAAUCAAUUUUAAAAUCUUGUAUAUAUAUACACUUAUAUAUAUCCAAAAUAAAGAUGGUAUAAUCAUUCUCACUCAUAAAUCAUUCUUACUCACAAACUAAAAUGUCUUCCUUGCACACUAAAGCUAACUCCAGCAGCACCGUAAAAUGUAAAAAUAGCGUGUGAUGUGAUGUUUUUUCUCUCCAACCGAGCGGUAUAUGCAAUUGCAUUUUAGAGUGAUUCUAUUUUUCGCUAUAAUAUCCCACUAAAUUUGGUGUAACUCUGUAGCAACGAUAAAAUAUUUUUUUAUAUCAAGACUGUUUAUUCUAUAUAUUAUUUAAUUAUGUUUGGUUACAUUAGAUUUCUAUGAUUAUUCUACAAUUGGAUUAAAUAUUUUUAAAAUGCCAUAGUUAUUUUGUUAUAUUUAAUUUUUAAUUAAUAUGAAAUAUUAAUUUAUAUAAAAAAAUUAAAUACAUUAAAUAUUAGUUUAAACAUUUGAAAUAGAAAUAUCUUUCUAGUUACAGUUUUAAUAUUAAUUUAAAUAUUUUAGUCAUAAAAAUAAUUAAUAUUUAUUAAAACUAUUAAAAACUAAGAGAAUUUUGAUUAAUAAUGUAAUAAUAAAAAAUAUUACCUUUUAGUGUAAUACAGUAUUUGAUGUUGUGGGUGGAGAUGCCCUAAAAUAUCCCAAUGGGUUGGAUAUGCCCUAAAGUACCCCAAUGGUGUUAACCUAAAGGAAUCCAUAUUUUUGGGUUUAGUUUUAAUACCACUUGUAAUGUUUCGAUGGAGGUUUAACCUCGUAAACAAAGACCACGUCCAUAGUAAACAAGCCAAAAUAAGAAAAACCGAAUAUAACAUUUUUCUCGUAUUAAAUUGGCAGAUUGACUAAUCUUCUGUAAACCACACUUAACUUUUAAUCUAACUGAUGGAUCAACUUCAAACUGAUGGCAUUGGAAAACUAAUUUAGUUAUGUACCUUGUGUCGAAGUUGAGUUUUUUGAAGGCUCAAAAAUUUUUUUUUAAUGAUCCUGCAAUAACGAAAAUGAGAUAAAUUCCGGUUAACCAUAAUGAUUUUCCUAUUUCAUCCAGAUUUGUAGAAAAAUAUUCCUAUUAUUGUUUCAGAUGGAUUUCUCUGAUUUCAAAUUUGAUAACAAUAUUCUCGAUUUAAUUCCGAUGGCAUUCAACUAAAAUUGGAACUGAUUUGUUUUUGCUCUAUUCAUUUUUUGUAGGGUUUGUGGCUUCAAUCAUUGUUUGCUUUUGACUGUUUCGUCUCUUUUCACCAUUGAAUCGACCUUUUUGAGUAACUAGGAAGCUCAGAGCCUAACUUAUUUAUGUCCAUGUGGAUUUGGGCCUCGAAAUUGAGGUUUUAAGCAAAGCUUUUUUACGGAAGAUUGAGUUGAGAAGAAGGGUUCUCUUAGAAUUCGUUCCAGUUUCCAUGAAAUAUAUGUCUCUCAAUGGUCCAACAUAAAGUAAAUCGGAUUUGCACCGUGGAAGAACCCCAAGAUGACCACCAUUCUCUUUCUCAAAUUUCGGAGAGAUUAGCGUGUUUUUUUGUCUCAACAAAGUGGUGGACUUUCGUGAACAAUUAAUUCUCUUAUUCUGUACAUAAUUGACUUCUUCGAUCUUUUUUCUUUUGAAAGCAAAAAUAGAAAAGUCUUUAUAUAAACGCUUCUAGGUUCGAAGUAACGUGCACAUCUGCUAUUUUUGUUCGAAAGCUUCUUCCAACUUUCAAUUUUGUAAAGUAGAUAGACACUUAUAAUUUACAUUCAGCUGCUCUUUUUUGUAAAGUAGAUAGACACUUGUAAAGUAUUCUAUAUUACUAGAUUACAAUAUAGACAUUUCGGGACUGAGAAAAGGUACAUUAUCCACACUCAGCAAUGUGUACACACAUUUUAUACGCCUAACUAGUAAGUAUGUAUAAAUAGUAUUCCCACAAAUAAAAGAAUCCUAAUCUAACUUAUUUAAUAUUAUUCACUUGUAUUUUAGACCCGAACUGGCAAUCCAUAAUUGUUGAAUACUCUGAUCCUUCCGUCCCAAGUCGCUGUCACAAUCACAAGCCCCCACAUGUGAGGCUGCAACACAUUCUUCAGAAGCUUCAGCUUCUUCCCUCUACUGCUCACUAUUGUUGAGUCAUCGUCCAGCUGCUCUUCUGGCCAUGUUGUUGAUCCUUUCAUUGGGGAGAAACAGCUGUCCAUUUUCCCUAUCUUCUUGUCCAUAUCUGUGAUGCAGUCGCUCAGGCUGUUCCUGUUUGCUUGCCUCAACCAAGGUAUAGCCACAGACGCAUUCUGUGAGAUAAAACUCUCAUAUGACUUGAUUCUUUUCGGCUUUCCGGAAGAUGGCUUCUUGCUGGGUAACUGAGAGUUGUUCCACACAUGAACCCCUGAGUCCUCUGUUGUUGACACGAUGUGUUUCCCGUCCAAAGUAAAUGAAGCAGUAGUUGUGCAGACACCAGAAGCUGCAAAAGGAAGUAUGCCAAAACGUUUAUACAUCUUAAUUCUUAAGCAUACAAAACAAAAGCACUGAAUGUAUCAAUCAUACUAACCUUUAAGCUUGCAGAUAACAUCCUCUCCACAUAUGAUACGAAUCUGUGAAUCAGCACAUGUAACCAUUACUUUGUCCGAAUCAUUGGGAAAAUACUCAAUACCAGUGAUCCUUUUGCUUGGCACCUUCUUCUUCCCAUGUGUUAAGCUAACCUCCCUGUCCAUUUGCAGCUGGUUAUCUAAAAAUGCACAAAAACAAACAAUCAGAUGCUAAAUUAUCCACAUUACAUAUAUUUGCAAGGGAGUAAACAUACCGAGUAUAUGGUAGAAGCGACAGUUCCCUGUUAUGGAACCUAUUGCAGCGGCCUGAAAAUAAUCUCCUAGUAAGCAACUCAAUCAUACUAUAUAUCUUAAAAUUACUUAAAAGUCAUUCAAAGUACCUUUGCAUCUGGACGAUAGCACACAGCUGUCACAAUAUCCCUUACAUCAGUAUAGUCAACAACCCGACAGCGAGACACGUCCCAUAUUCGAACUUUCCCAUCAAUGGAUCCGCUAAUGAAGUAAUUAUCAUCCACAGGGUUGAAUGCCACACAAGUCACUGCGUAAGGAGGUUGUGAGUGAGUACAAACAUCAUACAAAGAAUGGAAAAAGCAUCAUUGACCGAAGAGAAAAGAAACUCACCAAAAUUGUUAUGAGCGAACGUUCCGAGACAUUCAUCACAACCUACUCUCCAUAACCGUACACUCUCGUCCACAGAACAUGACAGGAGAUACUGCGACAAAGUGGUCAAAAUGUAAGAAGCGUUCACAUUAAAAGACCAUAAACAAAAAAACAUAUGUAAGAUCUUUACCCCAUUGUCGGACCAGGAAAGAUCCAAGAUCUCACCGGUAUGCCCUCUGAACUCAUGCAUAGGCUUCUCGGAUAUACUGAAGAUCUUAGAGGGUAACACAACGCAAGUUGAGUCCGAUGACUUCCUCAGAAAGCUACUCGUCUUCUUCUUCUUCUUCUCACUGUUGACAUUAAGAGACUCAACCUGAGAAUGUUGGUUCAUGCCAAAGUAAACACCAGAAUCAACCACAGGGACUUGAUACUCGUCUGUUCUCUCAUCCUCAGUUACGCUCCAAACUCGAACAACACAGUCUUCGCCAGCGCUCGCAAUGUAUCUACCAUCAGGAGAGAACUUCAAGGCUAAGAUGGAGCCAUCGUGCCCUGAAAAAUCUUGGUCAACACGCAAAGAGGAGAGCUCCUUGAACUGCUUUUUGUACGUCUGCACACUCGUAGUUGCUGCUGAUUCGCAAUCUAGUGAUUCGAGGACGUGCGUGAGAGCACCUAGCUUCUUUAACCAAAACUGCGCACCUUUCUUGGAGGAAUCGUCUCGGAAGCUGCCCGAUCUGCUUGAACUUGAUUCGCUCAAUCCUUGACUGCUGUUCCUGGAAAAGAUUAAGGAUCGAUCGUCUGUUUCCUCGGAUGAAGAAACAGAGGAUCGAUCAAAUACAGAGGAGGAGGAAGUUGAUUCGUUCCUCGACAACAACAACGAAUCAUCCUCUUUCAAAGAGCCGUUGACGACAAGUUCAGAAACUGGAACAGAGGGUGGUUGAAGAAGUUCAUCAUCUUCAGAGACAGAGGAGGAGGAGGAGUCGUUGUCUUCGGUAGACUUAUUGAAACUAAAGGCCAUGGAUUGGAGGAACUUACGACGUCGGUUGGAAACACUGUCGGGGUCAUUGGUCCAGAGAUGAAAACCAAAAUCCUGGGGAACAUCAUCACUAGGGGCAUCGAAGAAACAUUCUUCGUCUUCAUCAUCGCCACGAGUACCCAUCUCUUCUGUUCGGUAACCAAAGAAUAAAAAUAAAUCAACUUUGGCUAACCAUAAUAAAAGUCUCAACGUUUGGCGUGGUAGUCAAUUUAAACUGUAGAGAGACUAGUCGUCGUAUGAUUAGUAAAAAAAGAAUUGAAAAUUCAAAAGAAAAAAUAAGAGUCAAAAUCUAUAAAGUUGGGCGGAAUAAAGAAGAAUAAAAGUAUGUAGCCAACCUAACAAACAAACAAAGGUCGAUGAAGAGAUUGCUUCCAAGUCAAAAUAUUACACAAUUCAAUUAUUACAGAGACUGAAGAACAAGAAGUGAUGAGGGAUUUAGUUUACCUGUCUCACCAAACCAAUAAUUUGCUCUUCCUACAAACCAAAUACAAGAACAAAAGUAAAGAAAAAUACAAAAUAUAGAUCGAAGAAGAAGAAGAAAGAAAGGUCUCUUGUUUAUAAACCGAAGGAAGCAAGGAAGGGGUAUGUGUCGGUUCGAUUCACACUGUUUUGUAUAAAACCCUUUCGUCCCUAAUUUGAAUCAACCAAUGUUUGGAAAUGGUUUUAAAGAGUUGCAAUUUAAUAGCGAGAUUAGCGGUUGGGGUUUAGAAAAUGGAGCGUGUUUUUUUUUGACAUAAAAAAAUAACGUUUUGGGAUUUUAUUCGAUAGUAGGUAGAAGGAAAGAAAUACUACUCCCUCCGUUUUNNNNNNNNNNNNNNNNNNNNNNNNNNNNNNNNNNNNNNNNNNNNNNNNNNNNNNNNNNNNNNNNNNNNNNNNNNNNNNNNNNNNNNNNNNNNNNNNNNNNAAAAAAAAAUUUGUGUAUUUGGAUAAAAUUUUGUGUAUUUUCAGUUCAGUGUCAGAUUUUGAAUAAGAUUUUGAAUUUUUAGGUAUUUGAAUUUUUUGUGUAUUUGUUUGGAGUUUCAAGUAAUUUUCGUGUUUCAGAUAUUUUUCAGAUUUUUUGAAUCUUUUUAGGAUCCUAAAUAUCCGAACAGAUGUGGACCCAUUACAUCCAUAUCGGAUCCAACAACCUUUUGAUAUAGAUUUUUAACGUUAUUGUACAAAAACAUGGUUGAUGAAAUAUUUUUAGAAAACUCAUUUUUAAAUAUGAAAAUAUCUAUCAAAAUAUAGACGAUUGAAAGUUUAGUAUAUAAUAUGAGAUUUUAGUGGGAAAAUUUAUAUAUGAUAUGAUUACGUUAUUAUAAAAGAAAGAGGAAAUUAAAAUGUACACAUAUAUGUUGUGUAACUUCUCUUGCUUUAAAUUAUAUAUUAUAUGAUAAAAGUGAUAAUAUAAAACAUUAGUUUCAAUGCUUUUACAAUUAAAAGUCAAAAUGGUAAAUAUAGUAAUAGUAAUGAUUAAGAUUUAGGAGUGAUAUUUGAAUAAAUAAUAGAAUUGAAUAAAUUAUUGUUAGAGAAAUAUAUGGUAACAUAUUGUUAGUCUAAGUUUAAGGUAAGACAAAAAAAUAAUGAGUUAAAUAAAAGGGUCCAAACAACUUUGAUAGGUAGAUUUUUUAAGACUCCUUCCCUUUUAAUAGUAUUGAUAAAAUAUUAUUAAUAUAUAUUCAUUAGUUUUUAUCAAAAUAUAUAUAUGCUAAUUGUUGUGUUAAAUUUUAAAAACAUUCAUAUAUUUUAGAAAAUAUAUUUAUUUAUUUUAUUAGCAUUUAAUUAUAAAUUAUUUUAUAUCUAACUAUAUAUUUUAUAAUAAAAUAUUAUUUUCAGAUAACAACAGAAUAUAUCUAAGAAUUAUCUUAUGUUUUAAAACACGUUUUUAUUUUUAAAUUUUUAUUAUAUUUAUUUAUAGUCAAUUAUCUAAUAUAAUAUAUAAAUAUAAUAGUAUAAAUAAUUCGUUUUUAAUUAUAUAUAAUUUAGAUAAUUCAUACUAUUAUUAAUUUUAAUCACUUAUUUAAUCAUAUAUAUUUUAAAUUCGUUUUUAUUUUCGAUUAAUUUAUAUCAUUUAUUCAUUAAGGGUAUAAACGAUUUAUUAUUAGUUUUAAUCAUAUUUUUAAUCAGAUAGAUUUGAAAUUCGUUUUUAUAUUUUGACUAAUUUAGAUAAUUAUUCAUUAAAGGUAUAAACGAUAUUAACCGUUCUAGGUGUUCUGUCCGCAUGUGCCGACAUAGUGUUCUUAUAGAUAUUUAUCUGUUUAUAACUAUUAAAUCAAAACCAACAUAAUAAAUUAUUAAUUUUGUUUUUAAAAAGAUAAAUAUUAAACUUUGUAUUUUAUAGUAAAAAAUAUUAUUUCAGAUGAAAAACACAAUAUAUUUAAAAAUUAUCUUAUGUUUUAAAAAUAUAUUUUAUUUUGUGAAUUUUAUUAUAUUAUUAAAUAUAACAUAUAAAUAAAAUAUUAUUAAUAUAUAUUCAUUAGUUUUUAUCAAUAUAUAUAUGCUUAUUGUUGUGUUAAAUUUUAAAAACAUUCACAUAUAUUUUAGAAAAUAUAUUUAUUUGAUUAGCAUUUAACUAUAAAUUGUUUUAGUAUAAAUUUUAUAAUAAAAUAUUAUUUUCAGAUAACAACAUAAUAUAUCUAAGAAUUAUCUUAUGUUUUAAAACAUGUUUUUAUUUUUGAAAAUUUUAUUAUAUUUAUUUAUAGUCAAUUAUCUAAUAUAAAUAUAUAAAUAUAAUAGUAUUAAUAGAAAUUCGUUUUUAAUUAUUUAUAAUUUAGAUAAUUCAUACUAUUAUUAAUUUUAAUCACUUAUUUAAUCAGAUAUAUUUUAAAUUCGUUUUUUAAAUUCGUUUUCAUUUUCGAUUAAUUUAUAUCAUUUAUUCAUUAAGGGUAUAAACGAUUUAUUAUUAAUUUUAAUCAGAUUGAUUUGAAAUUCGUUUUUAUCUUUUGACUAAUUUGUAUAAUUAUUCAUUAAGGGUAUAAACGAUAUUAACCGCUCUAACUUUUAACGUGAGAGCUUUGUUGCAAAAAUUUACUUCGCAAAUAAUAGUAUAGAAGACCUUAGAAACCUUAAAUUCAAAAGAGACAAAAGAAAAAAUUUCAAACUUAAAUAAGUUAUUUGAGAAAGAAAUUUGUUCAGAUUUACCAACUGCUUUUUGGAAUCGAAAACAACAUAUUGUUGAUUUACCUUAUGAUGAAAAUUUUCUUGAAAAAGAGAUUCCCACAAAAGCUCGUCCAAUUCAAAUGAACUCAGAAUUAGAAAAACAUUGUAGAAAAGAAAUUUCGGAUCUUCUAGAAAAAGGACUAAUUUCGAAAUCAAGAUCUCCUUGGUCUUGUGCUGCUUUUUAUGUAAAUAAAAACUCUGAAAUUGAAAGAGGAACCCUAAGAUUAGUAAUUAAUUACAAACCUUUAAACACUGCUUUGAAAUGGAUUCGAUAUCCAAUACCAAAUAAAAAAGAUUUACUUCAAAGACUUUACUCUGCCCACAUAUUCUCAAAGUUUGAUCUAAAAUCAGGAUUUUGGCAAAUUCAGAUAUCUGAGAAUGAUCGUUAUAAAACAGCAUUUACAGUCCCUUUUGGUCAGUACCAAUGGAAUGUAAUGCCAUUUGGUUUAAAAAAUGCACCUUCUGAAUUUCAAAGAAUCAUGAAUGAUAUAUUUUCUGAUUAUUCAAAAUUUUGCAUUGUCUACAUUGAUGAUAUACUAAUAUUUUCACAUUCUAUUGAUGAACAUUUCAAAAAUCUCAAAACAUUCUAUUACGUUGCUAGAAAGAAUGGUCUUGUUGUUUCCAAAACAAAAAUGUCCCUAUUUCAAACAAAGAUCAGAUUUUUAGGUCAUUACAUAUCACAAGGUAUGAUAACCCCUAUUGAAAGAUCUUUAGAAUUUGCAAGUAAAUUCCCAGAUAAAAUUAUUGAUAAAACUCAAUUACAAAGGUUCCUUGGAAGUCUCAAUUAUGUUUUAGAUUUCUGUCCUAAUAUAAAUAGAAUAGCUAAACCUUUGCACAAUCGUCUAAAGAAAAAUCCAGUUCCUUGGACAAAAGAACAUACUGAAAUAGUUCAAAGGAUUAAAAAACAGGUCUUAGAAAUCCCAUGUCUGCACAUAGCAGAUCCGGAUUUAGAGAAAAUCGUAGAAACAGAUGCUUCUGAUAUAGGAUAUGGGGGUAUUCUUAAACAAAAGAAGCUAGAUGGUCGCGAAAGUAUUGUGCAAUUUACGUCAUCACACUGGAACGACACCCAAAAGAACUAUUCUACUAUUAAAAAGGAAAUCUUGAGUAUAGUUUUAUGUAUUCAAAAAUUUCAAAGCGAUCUUUUAAAUAAAAAAUUUCUUUUAAGAAUUGAUUGCAAAAGUGCUAAAGAUGUUUUACAAAAGGAUGUGAAAAACCUUGCAUCAAAACAAAUUUUUGCGCGAUGGCAGGCGAUUUUGAGUAUUUUUGAUUUUGAAAUUGAAUUUAUAAAAGGAGAUUCAAACUUUGUCCCAGAUUUCUUGACAAGAGAAUUUCUCCAAAACAGGUACAAUGCCUCCGAAGAAGAUAAUUGACAAAGGCAAGGGAAUUUCCCUGGAACCAAUCUCAGAAAAACCCGAACCUACAAACACUAGCCCAAAAACAGAACCCUGGAUCUCAGUAACAAAAAAGAGUGCUAAAAAGGAAGAAAUACCAACCACCCCAAAAUCUCUUCAAUCUCCAGAAGCUAUCAUGAAUCAAAUGUUACAAUUGCAAAAAGCUUUCGAGCUUAGUUUUUCAAAGCAAGAGUCGGGAGAAUCUUCCAAAAACCUUCCUUCUCAAGCUAUUUCAAAAAAUAACGAGGUCCCUUCAAAAAUGAUUUCAAGAGAAAACCAGACCUCAAAAAUUGUUUCAAAACCUUCAAAUAAUUCACAAAUUAUUUUGAAGCAGAUUUCCCAAACCACUCCAUCGGAGUAUUUUGAAAAACACACAUACCAAAAUAUUAUAAAUAUCGAAAAGGGAUUUUUUGUGAACAAUGAUCCGUUUUUAACAAUCGAAAAAUAUUUUGGCAAAAAUAAUUUCUUUAAACCACAUAAUACAGAUAAAACUGUGUUAUUCUUUCAAACCAUUUUGGAAAUUACAGAUUCAGUGUCCUUCAAACAUUUUUAUCUAAACGAAAAUCACACUGAUGCUGCUUAUUCCACAUUCAAAAUCCAUAAAAUCAUUGCGCCAUGUGAUUGGGAUUAUGAUCUUAACGACAAUCUAAAUUUUCCAGAAGAUCUUAAAAAUCUCCCUUGUUACAAUGUCCCCUUUAACUAUUGGGAUUAUUGCCAAGCAUGGUACAAUUCCUUUUUGAUCCAAUCUCCUAAACACAAACACACGUGGUUGAUCUUCUUUGACACCACCUGUAACUUAUCCAAAUCUCCCUAUUGGUUCAUACCAUGGUGGAACUACUUUGGUUCUGUCACAGAAAUAUUUAAACCCAAUAUCCAAAAAUCAUUCCAAAUCUUCAAGACAAAUUUCAUUCCGUCUGAAGAAGAAAAGAAAUUUCCCCCACUAGCCCUCUUCCACUCAAAAUUUCAUUUUUCUUGGUUUUUUUCAUGGACCCUAGAAUUUACUUCUGAUCUAAUUCAAGUUAUCCAAAGAAAAUUCAGAGUCAAGUGGUGGGAUAAAUACAAAAUUCCCUCAAACCUUUACCCAUCAAAUAUUCUUACCUGGAUAAAAGAACAAAACUCAAAAAUCCAAACACUUAACCAAACACAGAACCAAACACCAGAGACAACCUUUUUCUUGGCUCAAAAAUCCAAAAUGUUAGCAAUGUUGGCAGGUGCAAAAUCUGAAGAAGAAAUUAAGGCUAUCUCCUUACAAUUUCUACCGUCAAUGUCAGAUCAAAUCUCUCGUACUUCAGGGAGUGAUUCAGGGUCCCAAGUGCCAGAUAUCGAUGAAGAAAUUUUUGGCAACAGUGGAGUUUAAAUCUCUCUCCCCAAGAAAUGCAAAUCUCCUCAAAAUCCAAAACGUAUCUUUGUUGCAAUUCUGACAGAUACGGUUACAUUGUUACGAAUAUUUUCCACGAUCUCUUGUCGCAAUACCCGAUAAAAAUCCAAAACAUCAAAUAAGUGCUUUCUCCUGUAGCCAUGAAGACCAAGGUCCACUUCCAGCAGACAGCAAACAAUUAUGGAGCUUAAUGGAGCAAGCUUUUGCUAGUGGAGUUAUCCAUAUAUGCCACUUUUAUUUUUAUUUUUACCUAACUGAACCGAAUCGAAACCCAAAAUUGCCCAUGCCUAAAUGUAAAUAUCAAUAUAUAGUUUGUAUUUUAUAUGAUAUGUAGUUUAAUUAAUUGAUAUAUAUAUAUAUAUAUAUAUAUUAAUAUAAACACUUAUUAAAUAAGACUUUUUACUCAUGUGGUUUAUAACUAUUUAUAUCUUACUAUAACAAAAAAUUUAAACCAUUGAUAACAUAAAUUUGUCUGAGACUUUUAACAGUUUAGUAAUUUAUACUCGUUUUAAAAAAAUUCAAAAUACAACAUAUACGA
rnacentral:lncRNA from 1 species